rnacentral:rRNA from 1 species
UACGGAGGGAGCUAGCGUUAUUCGGAAUUACUGGGCGUAAAGCGCACGUAGGCGGCUUUGUAAGUAAGAGGUGAAAGCCUGGAGCUCAACUCCAGAACUGCCUUUUAGACUGCAUCGCUUGAAUCCAGGAGAGGUGAGUGGAAUUCCGAGUGUAGAGGUGAAAUUCGUAGAUAUUCGGAAGAACACCAGUGGCGAAGGCGGCUCACUGGACUGGUAUUGACGCUGAGGUGCGGAAGCGUGGGGAGCAAACAGG